rnacentral:piRNA from 1 species
UUAAACCUAGAGCGAUUCAAUUCUGUCAA